rnacentral:rRNA from 1 species
UAUCAAUAAGCACGAACACAAGGGCCCCUGCCUUGAACUAGCACGAACACGCGUCUUGCUUCCUUGACGGAUGGCCUCUUCGUCUAUGUUUCUUGGAACAGGACGUCACAGAGGGUGAGAAUCCCGUGCGAUGAGAUGCCCAAUUCUAUGUAAGGUGCUUUCGAAGAGUCGAGUUGUUUGGGAAUGCAGCUCUAAGUGGGUGGUAAAUUCCAUCUAAAGCUAAAUAUUGGCGAGAGACCGAUAGCGAACAAGUACAGUGAUGGAAAGAUGAAAAGAACUUUGAAAAGAGAGUGAAAAAGUACGUGAAAUUGUUGAAAGGGAAGGGUUUGAGAUCAGACUCGAUAUUUUGUGAGCCUUGCCUUCGUGGCGGGGUGACCCGCAGCUUAUCGGGCCAGCAUCGGUUUGGGCGGUAGGAUAAUGGCGUAGGAAUGUGACUUUACUUCAGUGAAGUGUUAUAGCCUGCGUUGAUGCUGCCUGCCUAGACCGAGGGACUGCCGAUUUUAUCNAGGAAUGCUGGCAUAAUGAAUCCGAAAC